rnacentral:rRNA from 1 species
GAUGAACGCUGGCGGCGUGCCUAAUACAUGCAAGUCGAGCGAACAGACGAGGAGCUUGCUCCUCUGACGUUAGCGGCGGACGGGUGAGUAACACGUGGAUCACCUACCUAUAAGACUGGGAUAACUUCGGGAAACCGGAGCUAAUACCGGAUAAUAUAUUGAACCGCAUGGUUCAAUAGUGAAAGACGGUUUUGCUGUCACUUAUCGAUGGAUCCGCGCCGCAUUAGCUAGUUGUGAAGGUAACGGCUUACCAAGGCGAGGUGGCGUAGCCGGCCUGAGAGGGGGAUCGGCCACGGGAGCGGGACCGGGGUCCAGACGCCUAAGGGAGGCAGCAGUAGGGAAUCUUCCGCAAGGGGCGAAAGCCUGACGGAGCAACGCGGCGUGAGUGAUAAAGGUCUUCGGAGCGUAAAACUCUGUUAUUAGGGAAAAACAAAUGUGUAAGUAACUAUGCCCGUCUUGACGGUACCUAAUAAAAAAGCCACGGCUAACUACGUG